ACCACUUCUCUGCCUUUUGGCUAAGAUCAAGUGUAGAAUCUGUUCUUAUCAGUUGCCAGUAGGUGGUGCUAUGCUAACCGUCCCUGGAAGUUGGGUGGUUCCUUCUGCUUGUCAUUAAAAUAAUAUGGAAUCAAAAUCAUACCCCUUGAAAUUUUCCACAUUUUGCCAUGUUACAACCAAAUACAUAAAUGUAUUUUAU